GCAUUGCUGAAGGGUUCCAUACUAGGACGAAACGGCCGUCCAGUAC
rfam:Schistosoma curassoni strain Dakar, Senegal genome assembly, scaffold: SCTD_scaffold0000516